AGCCAGCGGAGAGAAGCCCCAGGGCCUGGUCUCUUAGUGGCCAGCCUAUAAAUGGUUCCUAUUUUGGGAGUCCUCACGCUGAACAACGCCGCUUCUGGAAACCCCAUGCGAUGGUCUAGGGGGCUCAGGAAUGUUCCUGUGACUUACCGAAAAGAAAAGAAAAACUUUAUUAGAAGAGACAGUACACUUUCAUACAUGGAAGUGGGCCUGAGCAAAAGAAGAGUGGCUCAAAGGCCAAAUAUACAUUAAUCUUAAUACCUUUUGGCCCAUUGAUUCACGUUCUGCAUCAUCUUUCUUGCAUGAGCAUCUGAACUGCAUAAUUUCUUUCUUUUUUUUUAAGUGGAACACAAAUUAAAGAAUUGUUUGAGGCAAUCUAAGCAGUAAAUCCUAAAUUGUUAUGGUAUCUCACCAAUCACAACUUUCUCACCCAUAGUUAAUUUGGUGACAUUAAAAAAACUCUCAGAAAGUA